rnacentral:tRNA from 1 species
AGCAGGGGGCAUAGUAGUUAGAGCUGCUGCCUCUCGAUUUAUAGGUUGUGGGUUCAAAUCCCACCCCUGCUA